CCUUAUCGUCGCGACCCC
rnacentral:rRNA from 1 species